rnacentral:rRNA from 5 species
GCGACCCCAGGUCAGGCGGGGCCACCCGCUGAGUUUA